rnacentral:rRNA from 1 species
UACAGAGGGGGCAAGCGUUAUUCGGAAUUAUUGGGCGUAAAGGGCGCGUAGGCGGCUUGGCAAGUGGAUGGUGAAAUCCCUCGGCUUAACCGAGGAACUGCCGUCCAAACUGCUUCGCUUGAGACCGGGAGAGGUGAGUGGAAUUCCCAGUGUAGCGGUGAAAUGCGUAGAUAUUGGGAGGAACACCAGUGGCGAAGGCGGCUCACUGGACCGGUACUGACGCUGAUGCGCGAAAGCGUGGGGGAGCAAACGGG